AUUGAACGCUGGCGGCAUGCCUUACACAUGCAAGUCGAACGGUAACAGGUCUUCGGAUGCUGACGAGUGGCGAACGGGUGAGUAAUACAUCGGAACGUGCCCAGUCGUGGGGGAUAACGAAGCGAAAGCUUUGCUAAUACCGCAUACGAUCUACGGAUGAAAGCGGGGGAUCGCAAGACCUCGCGCGAUUGGAGCGGCCGAUGGCAGAUUAGGUAGUUGGUGGGGUAAAGGCGUACCAAGCCUACGAUCGGUAGCUGGUCUGAGAGGACGACCCGCCACGCUGGGACUGAGACACGGCCCAGAGUCCUACGGGAGGCAGCAGUGGGGAAUUUUGGACAAUGGGCGCAAGCCUGAUCCAGCAAUGCCGCGUGCAGGAUGAAGGCCUUCGGGUUGUAAACUGCUUUUGUACGGAACGAAAAGCUCUGGGUUAAUACCCUGGGGUCAUGACGGUACCGUAAGAAUAAGCACCGGCUAACUACGUGCCAGCCGCCGCGGUAA
rnacentral:rRNA from 1 species